rnacentral:rRNA from 1 species
AACGAACGCUGGCGGCAGGCCUAAAACAUGCAAGUCGAACGAUGUAGCAAUACAUAGUGGCGCACGGGUGAGUAACGCGUGGGAACGUACCUCUAGGUUAGGAACGACGUCGGGAAACUGACGCUAAUACCUGAUAAUGUCUUCGGACCAAAGAUUUAUCGCCUAGAGAUCGGCCCGCGUUAGAUUAGCUAGUUGGUGGGGUAAAAGCUUACCAAGGCGACGAUCUAUAGCUGGUCUGAGAGGAUGAUCAGCCACACUGGGACUGAGACACGGCCCAGACUUCUACGGGAGGCAGCAGUUAGGAAUAUUGGACAAGGGGGGCAACCCUGAUCCAGCCAUGCCGCGUGUGUGACGAAGGCCUUAGGGUUGUAAAGUGCUUUUGCUUGGGAACAAUUUUGAGCGUACCAAGAGAAUAAGAGGUUGCUAACUCUGUGCCAGCCGCCGCGGUAA